UUUUAUCGCGCUUCCACACUAUUUAUGUAAUUUAAUUGCAUGUGAGCGCUAUAUACAAACCUAACACUCCCGAUCUCAUUCUUAACGAGUGUGUAUUCGGGACUGAUUGUAUGCCCCACGACAGUAAGGAUCAAGAGAUUUUUUACAUGUAGAAAAUAGUUGUCGUCAAACCGAAACAGACUGAGCUUUUAUCGAAACCACAAUGGGGUUGUUGAACCCAAACUUAUCUUUAAUUGAUUUAUGAACUUGUGUUGUCGGCUAGAUUAGAACCCCUCCUAGUCAUGAACUGCUCCUUUUACCCGCCAUAUGAUCAACUUAAAGUAGAUUAGUGAUUGUAAAAAGUAACACUAAAAUAAACACUCUUCUUUAGCGCCAAAACUUAUACAGUAAACAGACAAGCAUAUUGAGAAGCUUACCGACCGGGGUCGCCAGG
rnacentral:lncRNA from 1 species